AGCAGCCGCGGUAAUUCCAGCUCCAAUAGCGUAUAUUAAAGUUGUUGCAGUUAAAAGCUCGUAGUUGAAUUUCGGGAUCGAUACGUCGGUCGUGCCUUGGUACGCACUAACGAUAUCGAUUUCUCCCUUCUGACGAACCGUGAUGUCGUUAAUUUGGUGUUACGGGGGUCAGGACUGUUACCUUGAAAAAUUAGAGUGUUUAAAGCAGGCAAUCGCUCGAAUACAUUAGCAUGGAAUAAUGAAAUAGGACGUUCGAACCUAUUUUGUUGGUUUCUAGGAUCGACGUAAUGAUUAAUAGGGAUAGUUGGGGGCAUUAGUAUUCAAUUGUCAGAGGUGAAAUUCUUGGAUUUAUUGAAGACUAACUACUGCGAAAGCAUUUGCCAAGGAUGUUUUCAUUAAUCAAGAAC
rnacentral:misc_RNA from 1 species